CAUCUUUCCAUUUCCAACUCCGUGCA
rnacentral:piRNA from 1 species